GCGUGAUCUCGGCUCACUGCUAUCUCCGCCUCCCGGGUUUGAGUGAUUCUCCUGCUUCAGCCUCUCGAGUAGCUGGGAUUACAGUCACUUGCCACCGUACCCAGCUGAUUUUUGUAUUUUUAGUAGAGACAGGGUUUUACCAUGUUGGCCAGGCUGGUCUCUAACUCCUGACCUCAAAUGAUCUACCCUCCUGGCCUCCCAAAGUGCUGGAAUUACAGGAUUGAGCCACCACACCUGGACUGCCAAACUUCAGCCUCUGAAAUACUUUUGAGAACUGGAAGUCCAAUCAAGAUGGUGCAGGAAAUGGUGCAACCAAAGUGAUGUGAGGUGAGACACUGACCAUCUGCCGAAGAGGCCACAAGCUGGGAUUCAUCUCUGCUGAUUUUAUAAUAUUUCUGCUAUAAA
rnacentral:lncRNA from 1 species